AGUGAACGCUGGCGGUAGGCCUAACACAUGCAAGUCGAACGGCAGCACAGUAAGAGCUUGCUCUUACGGGUGGCGAGUGGCGGACGGGUGAGGCAUACAUCGGAAUCUACUUUUUCGUGGGGGAUAAUGUAGGGAAACUUACGCUAAUACCGCAUACGACCUACGGGUGAAAGCAGGGGAUCUUCGGACCUUGCGCGAUUGAAUGAGCCGAUGUCGGAUUAGCUAGUUGGCGGGGUAAAGGCCCACCAAGGCGACGAUCCGUAGCUGGUCUGAGAGGAUGAUCAGCCACACUGGAACUGAGACACGGUCCAGACUCCUACGGGAGGCAGCAGUGGGGAAUAUUGGACAAUGGGCGCAAGCCUGAUCCAGCCAUACCGCGUGGGUGAAGAAGGCCUUCGGGUUGUAAAGCCCUUUUGUUGGGAAAGAAAAGCAGCAGGUUAAUACCCCGCUGUUCUGACGGUACCCAAAGAAUAAGCACCGGCUAACUUCGUG
rnacentral:rRNA from 1 species